ACCCACGAAAGGGUUCACCUAAUGAAUAGUCCCAAAUAUUCAACUGGGGCUGGGAGGACAGAGGCCUUUCAGCUCUGUCUUAUAGAUGAGGCACCGCGGUUGAACUCCAUCCAGGGUUAGGGUCCCAGGAAUAGACCAAGAGGCCUUGAUAACCAACUCCUGGAUCUCUACAGCUGAGCAGCCGGCAGUGAUGGCCAGCAUGCUCCCUGGCUUCCCUGCUUGUCCAUGUUCUGCUAAAUACAUCAAGAAAGGGAAUUUGGAGUCAUGGAAAUCAGUAAGAAGUAAGAGAGAGGAAAGUCAGGUCGGAGGGGUAGACGUGCCUGGGAACGCGGGACCGGGGCUGUUCAGACAGCAAAGCUCCUGUGUUGACUUGCAGUCUGUGUGCAGGGCCCUGGCCUUCCAGGGACUAUCCCACCAGGUCCUGCUGGCCUCCUUCCUCUGGACAGCAGCCCAAGAGAAACUUGGAGCUCGAGCCACGGGCCCGCCCUCUUCCCGUCCUGGGUGUGGCAGCCCUGGGGAGGCAGGACUUUCCCCGUGAGGCAAGCCCGGGAAGUCUGCACGUCGGGGUGGGUGCCGGUGCUCACCCCUGGGCUGUGGCCAAGAAGGACCUUUCCACCUGGACUCUCCCCUCCCGACACCCGGUUAGCACAUUGUCAAUUCGCAAGUUCCCAGCUCCUGCAAUGGUCCAGCUGGGCUGGGCAUGUCACCGUCCACAGAUUCAAAAAGUAAAAUCAAGUCAGAGCUGGAAGGGAACCGGAAAACAUGAGACUGAAAGUGAACCAGAACAAAUGAACCGAAUUCUAUUUCCAACAGACGCCAUAACCACAACGAAGAGAGAGACAGACAGACAAGGACAGAGAGAACGAAGAUACAGUGACUCACAAACACAGUGUUUGAUUACAAACCCUCAGCCUUGAGCAAGAUUGGCUGGCGGGGGGAGGUGAAUUACAAACAAGUCCGGCACCCGUCUUAGCGGGGCUGUUAAUGGCAGUGGUAUGGGCAGAGUGAUUCUGAAACGAUUUGAGAUGUGCUGCAGGACUGAGCACGGGUCUGAAGGUGCUGGUGACGCUGGGAGCAGCGUUCCCCCUGGGGAAGGAGCACACACGUACGGAACAGGAGAAGGCAAGAAAAAGCCGCAGGGCAUGGGUUGGAAUUAGAGGACCAGCUGAGAAGGACAAAGGAGGACGACAGAGACCAACUAUCCCGCCUGAGUCCAGGACCAGCUGAGAAGGACAAAGGAGGACGACAGAGACCAACUAUCCCGCCUGAGUCCAGGACCAGCUGAGAAGGACAAAGGAGGAUGACAGAGGCCGACUAUCCCAUGUCACUGCCGCAGCUGGGCAGUGGGACGUAGGCGGCCCUACAAAUAUGCAGCCCAGAGUGUGUCCAGACCUGCCCAGGCGUCAGCAGGAUGGGCAGUUCACAGACAAGCCAGCCAGGCCACGGGCAGCUACUGGACAAGGCACACCUCGUCGCCAUGCAGGCUACACAGAGGGGCCUGGGUGGCCUCCUGGGGAGGGGAAGGAUCAGCUUCCCAGAGGGGUCUCAGCCAAGGCUCUCGGGGCAGGGAAGUGUUAGACAAGGAAGAGGGGAAAGGAGUUCCAGGGAGAUGGACCAGCUAGUACAAAGGCCUGGGGGCAGACGACAGCAGGGUCGCGCCGGGGUGCAGGGUGUCCCCCUACCUCCUCCUGCAGGCUGCGGCAGCGUGAGGCGGCCAG
rnacentral:lncRNA from 10 species